rnacentral:rRNA from 1 species
UAGCGAAGGGGGCUAGCGUUGCUCGGAAUCACUGGGCGUAAAGGGUGCGUAGGCGGGUUUUUAAGUCAGGGGUGAAAUCCUGGAGCUCAACUCCAGAACUGCCUUUGAUACUGAAGAUCUUGAGUCCGGGAGAGGUGAGUGGAACUGCGAGUGUAGAGGUGAAAUUCGUAGAUAUUCGCAAGAACACCAGUGGCGAAGGCGGCUCACUGGCCCGGUACUGACGCUGAGGCACGAAAGCGUGGGGAGCAAACAGG